UACGUAGGCAGCGAGCGUUGUUCGGAGUUACUGGGCGUAAAGAGUGCGUAGGCGGUUUUCUAAGUUUGGUGUGAAAUCUCCCGGCUUAACUGGGAGGGUGCGCCGAAAACUGGAAGGCUUGAGUAUGGGAGAGGUAAGCGGAAUUCCUGGUGUAGCGGUGAAAUGCGUAGAUAUCAGGAGGAACACCGGUGGCGAAGGCGGCUAUCUGGACAGAGUCUGACGCUGAGGCGCGAAAGCUAGGGGAGCAAACAGG
rnacentral:rRNA from 1 species